CUCUGUGGGCAUGCUACCCUGAACAAGCCUGAUCCUGUUUGAUCUCAGAAGCUAAGCAUGCUUGGGCCUGGUUAGUAGUACUGGGAUGGGAGACCAUCUAGGAGUACCAGGUGCUGUAGGCA
rnacentral:rRNA from 1 species